rnacentral:rRNA from 1 species
GCUUUGGGGAUUAGUGGCGAACGGGUGAGUAACACGUGAGCAACUGCCCCUCACUCUGGGAUUAGCGCUGGAAACGGCGUCUAAUACCGGAUACGAGAUGCGACCGCAUGGUCAGUGUCUGGAAAGAUUUUUUGGUGGGGGAUGGGCUCGCGGCCUAUCAGCUUGUUGGUGAGGUAAUGGCUCACCACGGCGUCGACGGGUAGCCGGCUGAGAGGGUGACCGGCCACACUGGGANUGAGACACGGCCCAGACUCNUACGGGAGGCAGCAGUGGGGAAUAUUGCACAAUGGGCGGAAGCCUGAUGCAGCAACGCCGCGUGAGGGAUGACGGCCUUCGGGUUGUAAACCUCUUUUAGCAGGGAAGAAGCGAAAGUGACGGUACNUGCAGAAAAAGCACCGGCNAACUACGUGCCAGCAGCCGCGGUAAUACGUAGGGUGCAAGCGUUAUCNGGAAUUAUUGGGCGUAAAGAGCUCGUAGGCGGUUUGUCGCGUCUGCUGUGAAAUCCCGAGGCUCAACCUCGGGCCUGCAGUGGGUACGGGCAGACUAGAGUGCGGUAGGGGAGAUUGGAAUUCCUGGUGUAGCGGUGGAAUGCGCAGAUAUCAGGAGGAACACCGAUGGCGAAGGCAGAUCUCUGGGCCGUAACUGACGCUGAGGAGCGAAAGGGUGGGGAGCAAACAGGCUUAGAUACCCUGGUAGUCCACCCCGUAAACGUUGGGAACUAGUUGUGGGGUCCUUUCCACGGAUUCCGUGACGCAGCUAACGCAUUAAGUUCCCCGCCUGGGGAGUACGGCCGCAAGGCUAAAACUCAAAGGAAUUGACGGGGACCCGCACAAGCGGCGGAGCAUGCGGAUUAAUUCGAUGCAACGCGAAGAACCUUACCAAGGCUUGACAUACACGAGAACGGGCCAGAAAUGGUCAACUCUUUGGACACUCGUGAACAGG